GUUUGCUCGCGCGCGCGUGCGUGGAAGAGCGAUUUCAAAUACAAAGAAGUAACGGCUCCAUUCCUCAAAGAGAGUAAGAAACAACCGCUGCGCAAGAAAAUCCAGUAUGACUUCUCUGAAAGUCUCAAAAGCUUCACAGAGCAGCAAUAUCAGUUAAUGAAGAAAUGUGUCUCUGUAGUGGACACCUGUGAGGCAGAGGACAGACAGCUGCUGAUGUCUGACAAUAAACAGACCUCUCUGUACCUACCCCAUCUUUUGCAGAGAAAUUAUACCAUUGCCCUUCCUGUUACAUGAUGAUCCUGCUGUCCUGGACUGUAUAUGAUGAGCCUACACAUAAUCUCAGAACAGCUGUGGUAAUAACAGGAAACCCAUUAGAUGAGAGCAGCACUGCAGACUUUCCUGAUGGUGAGAAGCUUCUUGCUGAUGAACCUGCCGACAUGAGUUCACCUUACUAUGAGUUACUGUGUUCUGUUCAACAUUAUACAGAAAAGCAAUUAAAAGUACCCUAAAGCACACUGUUUUUCUGCUGUAUCUGUUGGUCAUUCAGGAGGAGAUCAUGGACAAUUUUCACAAGACUGAUGAUGUGUUUCAGCUGUGUUUGUAUCGUGAAUCCUCACAAUGUUUGUAUAUUUUGAUUUUUUCUUUAAUUAUGUGCAUUUAUAACACUAUACUUUGUAUUAUAUCACAUUCAUAUAAAAUUACAGAAAGAAAUAGUUAAUGCUAAUGCAAGGGUGUUUCUAAUCCAGAGUCUUAGGGAGGAAUGCUAAAUUUGACAUUGUUCUCUCUUCUGACUGCUGUUAUCAGUCGCUGUCAGAUUUUUUCCUUUGAUUGAAAGUUGUGAAAAUGCUAUUGUAGAGUUUUUCAUUUUGCUAUUUGAGUAAAUGAGAAUGCAAAAAUAUAUUUAUGAUACUCUCCCAUUCACUGCUCUCGAAGUUAACCCAACUAUAACAACUUAUGCUGCUGAGAAACUGGUUUAUUAAGCUAAAUACAUCUAUCUUGAGGCUUAUCAAUUUCUUGAAAUGUCCUGUGUGAAUUCUCCCAAUCAGUCACCACUAUUUAGAACAGGAAAGAAUAUGUUACUAUUAAUUGCAUUGUUUCUAAAAUUUAAAUCAUUGUUUUAGGUACAUAAAAUGUUUUUUUAAAGUUCUAAGAUUACUGAGUCACAUUUAUUUGUUUCUAAUUUUAACCAAGGUGUAAAUGCUUUUUUUGUUGUUGUUUAUAGCAGUAUUAACACUGAUGUUGCCAUGAAUGGGACUGUGAUGUGCAGUAUUGUGAUUAUGGAUAUUGUUGUUGUUUAUCAAUAAACUGUUUUAUACGCAUUUGUUUUAUUUUUAAUCAUUAAAAA